rnacentral:rRNA from 1 species
AACGACCGCUGGCGGCCGGAUUAAAACAUGCAAGUCGAGCGUGGUUUUCUGACCUAGCGCCGGACGGGUGAGUAACGCGUGGGAACGUGCUCUUUGCUACGGAAUAGCCUCUGGAAACGGAGCGAAAUCCCGUAAGUGCCCGGUAACGGGGAAAGAUUUAUCGGCAAAGGAGCGGCCCGCGUUGGAUUAGGUAGUUGGUGGGGUAAUGGCCUACCAAGCCGACGAUCCAUAGCUGGUUUGAGAGGAUGCUCAGCCACACUGGGACUGAGACACGGCCCGGAAUCCUACGGGAGGCAGCAGUGGGGAAUCUUAGACAAUGGGGGGAACCCUGAUCUAGCCAUGCCGCGUAAGUGAUUAAGGCCUGAGGGUUGUAAAGAUCUUUCAGCUGGGAAGAUAAUGACGGUACCAGCAGAAGAAGCCCCGGCUAACUCCGUGCCAGCCGCCGCUGUAA